rnacentral:rRNA from 1 species
UGAGGAAUAUUGGGCAAUGCCCGCGAGGGUGACCCAGCAACGCCGCGUGGAGGAUGAAUGUCGUAAGAUUGUAAACUCCUGUUAGAGGGGAAGAAUAGUACCGGUUGGACCGGUAUAUGACUGUACCCUCAGAGAAAGCCCCGGCUAACUACGUGCCAGCAGCCGCGGUAAUACGUAGGGGGCAAGCGUUGUCCGGAUUUACUGGGUGUAAAGGGCGCGCAGGCGGGAUAAAAAGUCAGUGGUGAAAUCCUACAGCUUAACUGUAGAACUGCCUUUGAUACUUUUAUUCUUGAGUUCGGGAGAGAGAGACGGAAUUCCAGGUGUAGUGGUGAAAUACGUAGAUAUCUGGAAGAACACCAGUUGCGAAGGCGGUCUCUUGGUCCGACACUGACGCUGAGGCGCGAAAGCGUGGGGAGCAAACA